UAUGGCAGACAAGUGCAAAGGAUUUAAAAUCCUUAAAUAAAGAAUACUACUUUUAUUAAAA
rnacentral:tRNA from 1 species